AACGAACGCUGGCGGCAGGCCUAACACAUGCAAGUCGAGCGGACCCUUCGGGGUUAGCGGCGGACGGGUGAGUAACGCGUGGGAAUAUGCCCUUCUCUACGGAAUAGUCCUGGGGAACUGGGGGUAAUACCGUAUACGCCCUUUGGGGGAAAGAUUUAUCGGGGAAGGAUUAGCCCGCGUUGGAUUAGGUAGUUGGUGGGGUAAUGGCCUACCAAGCCGACGAUCCAUAGCUGGUUUGAGAGGAUGAUCAGCCACACUGGGACUGAGACACGGCCCAGACUCCUACGGGAGGCAGCAGUGGGGAAUCUUAGACAAUGGGGGCAACCCUGAUCUAGCCAUGCCGCGUGAGUGAUGAAGGCCUUAGGGUUGUAAAGCUCUUUCAGCUGGGAAGAUAAUGACGGUACCAGCAGAAGAAGCCCCGGCUAACUCCGUG
rnacentral:rRNA from 1 species